AAAUUGAAGAGUUUGAUCAUGGCUCAGAUUGAACGCUGGCGGCAGGCCUAACACAUGCAAGUCGAACGGUAACAGGAAGCAGCUUGCUGCUUUGCUGACGAGUGGCGGACGGGUGAGUAAUGUCUGGGAAACUGCCUGAUGGAGGGGGAUAACUACUGGAAACGGUGGCUAAUACCGCAUAACGUCGCAAGACCAAAGAGGGGGACCUUCGGGCCUCUUGCCAUCAGAUGUGCCCAGAUGGGAUUAGCUUGUUGGUGAGGUAACGGCUCACCAAGGCGACGAUCCCUAGCUGGUCUGAGAGGAUGACCAGCCACACUGGAACUGAGACACGGUCCAGACUCCUACGGGAGGCAGCAGUGGGGAAUAUUGCACAAUGGGCGCAAGCCUGAUGCAGCCAUGCCGCGUGUAUGAAGAAGGCCUUCGGGUUGUAAAGUACUUUCAGCGGGGAGGAAGGUGUUGCGGUUAAUAACCGCAGCAAUUGACGUUACCCGCAGAAGAAGCACCGGCUAACUCCGUGCCAGCAGCCGCGGUAAUACGGAGGGUGC
rnacentral:rRNA from 1 species